UUUUGCUUGAGCUGACUUGUUUCCCUUUUUGACUCUCCUUCCUGAAAAUCAUGAUACCAUCCAGUGCAGAAGAGGACGCUGGCGUGUAGAAGAAGAGAGGGAAUAAGAGCAGAAAAAGCUGGCUGCACUACUUAAAUUACCUGCACAAGGCCUUGUUGCUUCUUGCUCGCAGACCAAGAAGUGCCCAGCCUGUCUUCUAACACCAGGUUUCUCCAAGAUAGGAGGAGGAUUUUCGUCAGAGGAAGAAACCUCCACUCCAGAUGAAAUAGGGAGCACUCACCCCUGAUCAG
rnacentral:lncRNA from 1 species